GAUGAAGAACGUACCGAAAUGCGAUAAGUAAUGUGAAUUGCAGAAUUCAGUGAAUCAUCGAAUCUUUGAACGCACCUUGCACCCUUUGGUAUUCCGAAGGGUAUGCUCGUUUGAGUGUCAUUGUACUCUCACACUUCUAAUUCCUUUCGGGAUUGGGAGCGGUGGACUUGGGUGUUGCUGCUUUAGUUGUGGCUCACCUCAAAUAAGUUAGUGCAACUCUUGGUUGGACAAAGUACGGCGUGAUAAGUGUCUUCGCCGGCGCCUCUGUAAGGAGGGUGGCCGAUCGGGAGCUCUGUGCUUCAAACCGUCUUCGGACAAUCUUUGACAACUUGACCUCAAAUCGAGUAGGACUACCCGCUGAACUUAAGCAUAUCAAUAAGCGGAGGA
rnacentral:misc_RNA from 1 species